CAGAGUUGCAAAACUCCCUAAAACCAUUGUGAACCGACCCCCUAAAACCGUUUGCCUCGGCGGGCGGCACGGGCGCGUCCUGGACCUCCUUCGGGGGGCUCCUGUGGCACCCCGGCCGCUAUAAAGCCCGCCGUGGCCGAAAACCAAACUCUUGUUUUUAAACUUCUGGCCUCUCUGAGUUAACUGUACUUUAAAUAAGUCA
rnacentral:misc_RNA from 1 species